rnacentral:rRNA from 1 species
AUUGAACGCUGGCGGCAGGCCUAACACAUGCAGGUCGAGCGGAUGAGGGGUGCUUGCACUCUGAUUCAGCGGCGGACGGGUGAGUAAUGCCUAGGAAUCUGCCCGAUAGUGGGGGACAACGUUUCGAAAGGAACGCUAAUACCGCAUACGUCCUACGGGAGAAAGUGGGGGAUCUUCGGACCUCACGCUAUCGGAUGCGCCUAGGUCGGAUUAGCUAGUUGGUGAGGUAAUGGCUCACCAAGGCUACGAUCCGUAACUGGUCUGAGAGGAUGAUCAGUCACACUGGAACUGAGACACGGUCCAGACUCCUACGGGAGGCAGCAGUGGGGAAUAUUGGACAAUGGGCGAAAGCCUGAUCCAGCCAUGCCGCGUGUGUGAAGAAGGUCUUCGGAUUGUAAAGCACUUUAAGUUGGGAGGAAGGGCUGUAGGCUAAUAUCCUGCAGUUUUGACGUUACCAACAGAAUAAGCACCGGCUAACUUCGUGCCAGCAGCCGCAGUAAGAC